CAGCCGCCGCGGGAAUACGUAGGGUGCGAGCGUUAAUCGGAAUUACUGGGCGUAAAGCGUGCGCAGGCGGUCCGCUAAGACAGAUGUGAAAUCCCCGGGCUUAACCUGGGAACUGCAUUUGUGACUGGCGGGCUAGAGUAUGGCAGAGGGGGGUAGAAUUCCACGUGUAGCAGUGAAAUGCGUAGAGAUGUGGAGGAAUACCGAUGGCGAAGGCAGCCCCCUGGGCCAAUACUGACGCUCAUGCACGAAAGCGUGGGGAGCAAACAAGAUUAGAUACCCCUGUAGUCCCUGUCUCUUAUAA
rnacentral:rRNA from 1 species